CAGCAGCGGCCGCCGAGUCUGAUGAGUACAAAUUGAAAGAGGGGAAGUUUAGGUUGGGUAUUGGAGGAAGUUCUUUACUGUCAGGGUGGUGAGGUCGCUGGAACAGGAAGGUUGUGAAGUGCCCGAAGCCAUGGUGGCCUGUAGAGCCGGGCUGGAUAAGGCCUUGAGCAAUCUGGGUCUAGUGGGCGGUGUCCCUGCCCGUGGCAGGAAAGGGGUUGGGACUGGAUGCCCGCUAAGGUCCGUUCCAGACCUUUAACCUGUGAUUCCGUGAUCCCACCGUGUGGAUCCGCAGCGAUCCGUGUGAUUCGUCAGCCGCCCGACCUGCGCCGUGCUCCUUGGAGCAGGUCCUGCCUCGGCAGUGCUCGUCUGAACAGUCGAGCACCUCUGCCCUUCUCAGAGGAAUUAGAAAUGCUCCUGGGUGGUUAAUGUGAGAAAUCCCGACAUGGCAGGUCAAAGCAAUGGCUGUAAUGUCAGGAAUUGCAGGGAUGGUUUCAGGUGCUUUUCUAAACAGCCAAAGCUGUCACUUGAAAGAGGAGUGAUUGUCACGCUGCCGUGGCUGUGCCUGUGUUUCCCCUGGGCGCUGGGGUGGCGCAGUUCAGGCUGACACUCCAGCCACACAGGCUGCCCAGGAGAGCCGGUGCCGUGGGACACCGAGAUGGACCUAAUUACUGUGUGCCAUGCGGUGGUUACUUCGAGCUGUCUCCUGGCUCAUCAAGUCUUGAAAGGAAUGACAGAUUGGACAUUCAGAGACACUUGGUUUUGCUGACAGAUCGUUUUCAUCAGCAAAUGCCUGUCAUAAUUCAAAAGAUAAAUUACCUUUUUUUCCUUUAGGGAAUUGGGCAAGGGCUGUGAGGUGACCCAGACUGUGCCCUUGUUCGGGUUAUAGUCACAGAUCCAAACUGGUGGGGUCUGGCAGGGACAGGGCCCCAGGAGUAUCAGCAGCCUCUGGGAUAAUGCUCUCUUGCAUUACAGACUGCGGUGUGAGUGCUGACCUCAGUUCAACUGGUGGUCAAAACAUCACUGAGUUCCCCAGAGUGCCGCAUGUGAAUUGGGGUUAAAGGCUGUACCCUGCCAGGGUGCUCCUCUCCCCAGCCUGGCUGGUCAUUAGGAGCACUGUACUUGUCCUGCAAUUAGUCAUUCCUCACACCAGAGCUUGUUUUAGGAAAGUGGUCAUGCCUCUGCUUAACCUUGAUCCCAGCUGAUGCUCUGUGCCAGGCAGAAAGUGAAGCUCAAGAUGAGUUUGUUACUGGCUUUGGGAAUCCUCAGUCUGGACUCGGCCAUGCCUUGCAAGCAGAAAGAUGCCACGUGAAUUUUGGAGCUGCAGAAGUUCUGUGACAUCAGAUGACCACCUCCACUGUCUUCCAGCCUUGUGUGUGCACACAGGGCCAACAGAAGAGUCCACUCACUUCUAGAAGUGUGGGUGUUUAAGGAGCUUGAAAACAGAAGCCUGGAAUGUGGAGCUCUAAUGUCCUUGGAAAUGCUUCCAUUGCCUUUCCUGCUCAUCAGAAAUACUGCUUGGUUCCAUAGUACGGCAGGGGAGUAGCUGUUCACUGAAAAUGAAUAAUCCUGGAAUGAAGUUUGGUGUAGUGUGUCACUCUAGAAAGAGAAGUGGCCUUCUGGGCAGUCUUAGAACUUAGUAUGAUUUUUUGAGUGUAUCAAAUAAAUGGAUCAAAAGUGAAUAAAGCAAAGAUUAAAAUGUGGGAAAAUUUGCGUUGUCUAAAUGAGUGUUUACAGUGUUAGUAGUGGGUAUGAAUAAAAUCUUGGAUUUCUGUUGUCA